UUGAACGCUGGCGGCAUGCCUUACACAUGCAAGUCGAACGGCAUCACGGGAGCAAUCCUGGUGGCGAGUGGCGAACGGGUGAGUAAUGUAUCGGAACGUACCUUUCAGUGGGGGAUAACGUAGCGAAAGUUACGCUAAUACCGCAUAUUCUGUGAGCAGGAAAGCAGGGGAUCGCAAGACCUUGCGCUGAUUGAGCGGCCGAUAUCAGAUUAGCUAGUUGGUGAGGUAAAGGCUCACCAAGGCGACGAUCUGUAGCGGGUCUGAGAGGAUGAUCCGCCACACUGGAACUGAGACACGGUCCAGACUCCUACGGGAGGCAGCAGUGGGGAAUUUUGGACAAUGGGGGCAACCCUGAUCCAGCAAUGCCGCGUGAGUGAAGAAGGCCUUCGGGUUGUAAAGCUCUUUUGUCAGGGAAGAAACGGUGAGUUCUAAUACAGCUUGCUAAUGACGGUACCUGAAGAAUAAGCACCGGCUAACUACGU
rnacentral:rRNA from 1 species